GAUGAACGCUGGCGGCGUGCUUAACACAUGCAAGUCGAACGAUGAAGCCCAGCUUGCUGGGUGGAUUAGUGGCGAACGGGUGAGUAACACGUGAGUAACCUGCCCUUAACUCUGGGAUAAGCCUGGGAAACGGGGUCUAAUACCGGAUAGGAGCGUCCACCGCAUGGUGGGAGUUGGAAAGAUUUAUCGGUUUUGGAUGGACUCGCGGCCUAUCAGCUUGUUGGUGAGGUAAUGGCUCACCAAGGCGACGACGGGUAGCCGGCCUGAGAGGGUGACCGGCCACACUGGGACUGAGACACGGCCCAGACUCCUACGGGAGGCAGCAGUGGGGAAUAUUGCACAAUGGGCGCAAGCCUGAUGCAGCGACGCCGCGUGAGGGAUGACGGCCUUCGGGUUGUAAACCUCUUUCAGUAGGGAAGAAGCGAAAGUGACGGUACCUGCAGAAGAAGCACCGGCUAACUACGUG
rnacentral:rRNA from 1 species